rnacentral:ncRNA from 1 species
CUGCGCGCGCCGGGAGAGCGUGCCGUUUGCCUUUCACCAGUGCAAGCGGCGCCGCCGAAGGGGCAACCCACAAACUCUCAGGCAAAAGGACCGUGCGCGCCG